GCGCACCAGGCGCGAAUCCUUCGCAAUGCGGGAACCGCGACGAGGGACUCCAGUGCCUACGCUCAGCGUAGGCUGUUCCCGAGCCUAGAAAGCUCGGGGAGUAAGGGCUGGUAAGACGGGUGCCAGCCGCCGCGGUAAUACCGCAGCCCGAGUGGUGGCCACUAUUAUUGGGCCUAAAGCGUCCGUAGCCGGCCCGGUAAAUGCCUGGGUAAAUCGUGAGGCCUAACCUCACGAAUUCCGGGUAGACUGCCGGGCUAGGGACCGGAGGAGGGAGAGGGUACUCCAGGGGUAGGGGUGAAAUCCUGUAAUCCCUGGAGGACCACCGGUGGCGAAGGCGCUCUCCUAGGACGGGUCCGACGGUGAGGGACGAAAGCCAGGGGAGCGAACCGGAUUAGAUA
rnacentral:rRNA from 1 species